rnacentral:rRNA from 1 species
UACGAAGGGUGCAAGCGUUAAUCGGAAUUACUGGGCGUAAAGCGUGCGUAGGCGGUUUGUUAAGUCUGCUGUGAAAUCCCCGGGCUCAACCUGGGAAUGGCAGUGGAUAUGGCAGCUAGAGUGUGUCAGAGGAUGGUGGAAUUCCCGGUGUAGCGGUGAAAAUGCGUAGAGAUCGGGAGGAACAUCAGUGGCGAAGGCGGCCAUCUGGGACAACACUG